rnacentral:rRNA from 1 species
UGGGGAAUAUUGCACAAUGGGCGAAAGCCUGAUGCAGCGACGCCGCGUGAGUGAUGACGGCCUUCGGGUUGUAAACCUCUUUCAGUAGGGACGAAGCGCAAGUGACGGUACCUGCAGAAGAAGCACCGGCUAACUACGUGCCAGCAGCCGCGGUAAUACGUAGGGUGCGGGCGUUGUCCGGAAUUACUGGGCGUAAAGAGCUCGUAGGCGGUUUGUCACGUCGUCUGUGAAAUCCUAGGGCUUAACCCUGGACGUGCAGGCGAUACGGGCUGACUUGAGUACUACAGGGGAGACUGGAAUUUCUGGUGUAGCGGUGGAAUGCACAGAUAUCAGGAAGAACACCGAUGGCGAAGGCAGGUCUCUGGGUAGUAACUGACGCUGAGGAGCGAAAGCAUGGGUAGCGAACAGG